rnacentral:lncRNA from 1 species
ACAAAUGUUGCCAAAAAUACUUGUAAACAAAUUAUUUCAAAGUUUCCUCUGAUUAUUUAUCAUUUAAAAAUCUCUAUGGGCCUAUGAGAUGUUUUGCUGUUCUAUUCUAUUAUUCAGAUUAUUAACGACAACGAGCAUUUGAAUGCUCAAUGCAUGUCGUCUCGGUAGUUUCUGAAUAUACAACGAAAAUUCGUAUAAACUAUAAUUAAAUUGAAGAUCUUUCCACUGACACAGGCUUACCAAAAAAAAAAAAAAAGUUAUUACCAUGAACAACUAAAACAUAUUAAGAAGAUACCAUUCCAAACUUUCGAACGAGAGAAAUAAAUUUUGAAAUUAAUUAAGCAUUUCAUGAAUGCAUCAUCAUAUCAGUUUCUUAUAAUCAUGUGUAUACAUAACUUAAAUAUCAACCCUAGUUCAAAUGUUUGAUACUAGAGGGAAAUGUAACCAAAAAAGAGUUUUGGAAAAAUACAAGAGAUAGAGAGAAAAAAAACAUAAGGUAAAGAUCUAAAUCAAAUUACGGUCUCGGUCGCGGUCACGGUCACGCCCGCAGACUAACAUGGCUAGACAACGGCCAAGGAUGUAAAACUUGGCUCGCUGUUUCUUCACCAUGUGGCUACACUUGGCCUUGAAGGUCUUCGACGGCUUGCAUGUCCUGCUCGUGCUGAUCUCUUCUCCCAUUACUUGAUGAUUCUAACAACAACAAUGGAGAGUUUCUAUGCCGAGAAAAUGGAGAGUUUUUGUUGUGGUUUCUGCUUCUGAAAUUUUGUAGUAGAAGUGUGGGAAGAGGGAGAAAGGGGAAGAGUUUAGACAAUAUAUGGAGAGAGCCAAGCCUAUGAAUUAGAAGGAGGGUCAUUGGCUUGGUACAAUAAAUGAUUGAUAUGUGACUUUAUUUUUGUUUUGUAAGAAUAAGUAAGACUAAUAUAUGUAAUAUAUACUAUACAUUAUAGAAGAUUAGAAGAUAAUAGUAUUAAUGUGUUUGUGUGGUUUUGUUUUGGUGAAGUACUGUUUUAGAUUUUUUUUUCAAGAGAUCUCUAGAUUGAGUUAAUUAAGCUGUAGAAUUUUUAAAAGAAAAAUGAGUGUAUAUUUGUUAUGUAGAAAUAUCAUAUGUAAUAAAUGAUUGUAAUAGGGUGGGUAUGUUUAUGAACUUAGUUACCUUAUAUGGGUAUUAAUUUCAGUAAGGUUUCUUUUAUAUUUCAAAGUUCAUGAUAAUGCUUAAUUAAUCUAAAUAAGUUAUAAGGCUUAGUUAUUUUAAACUACAUGAAUACUGUCUAAACAGAUAGAAAAAACUCAUAUAUGUUGGAAGAAAUCUGAUGAUUUUUUUUUUUAAUAAACAAUCAUAACAUAUAGAAUUAAUGAUUGGAAUAAGAUUGAUAUCCAAAACUAGANNNNNNNNNNNNNNNNNNNNNNNNNNNNNNNNNNNNNNNNNNNNNNNNNNNNNNNNNNNNNNNNNNNNNNNNNNNNNNNNNNNNNNNNNNNNNNNNNNNNNNNNNNNNNNNNNNNNNNNNNNNNNNNNNNNNNNNNNNNNNNNNNNNNNNNNNNNNNNNNNNNNNNNNNNNNNNNNNNNNNNNNNNNNNNNNNNNNNNNNNNNNNNNNNNNNNNNNNNNNNNNNNNNNNNNNNNNNNNNNNNNNNNNNNNNNNNNAACGUAUGAAUUGGAUAAGGGCCAUAAGGCUAAUAAUUCUGACUAUAUAUCUUAAAAAGAAACAAAAUGUUGGAAACUAUAACACAAUGUUGAGCUGUAAACAUAUGCAUAUUCAGUUCGAGUGCAUACUUACAAAGUUUACAUGUGUAUAAAUAAAGAGAGAAAGAUAUAUGACCACAUACAGCGUGGACUAGGACCCGGUCGAUGUUGUGUAUUAAAUGUGUUUUCUAUAUAUCAUUCUUAGUCAAACCAUAUAAAUUUUGAUUUUGGUGUACUUAUUGGGGUAGAUCUUUGGAGAACAUCUGAAACGUAAAUGGUCGGUCUGCGUAGACCGAACCCCACAUAUAUACGGUAAGUAAAAUCUCUGGUCGUCGUGGCAGCUCAUUAGAUCCGUACGCCAUAAUAUAAUGNNNNNNNNNNNNNNNNNNNNNNNNNNNNNNNNNNNNNNNNNNNNNNNNNNNNNNNNNNNNNNNNNNNNNNNNNNNNNNNNNNNNNNNNNNNNNNNNNNNNACCGACGUGGCCACGUCUGAAUCCUAAUGCUCGAUCCGUUUGGUUUAUCAUGAGGUUGAAAAGAAACUCUAUACAUAUAUAUGUAUGUGUGUUUGUGUGUGUGUGUAUGAAUGAAUGAGGAGAGAAAAAUGAAAAGAUAUACACAAUCUUAAACAACUGAAGAGAUGAUUAAACUUAACGUACACACGCGUGAAAUAAAAAUUGAAUGUUUUGGUUGGUGUCUAGCGUUGCCGAGAAGUAAAUUGUGUGGGCUUUGAUCAUCUUCGUAAGUGGUAGAUAUAACUAACUCAUAUUUCUGAAAAAUGAUAUAAAGAAGAAAAAAUUAAUAGAUGUUUGGUUUAGUUUUAGGAACAUUGAUAUCGUUAAACUAAAUUUGCUUUUGUCUUUGACGUUUGUGGUUCCUGAAUAUUUUAACAUGUGAUUAAGGUUUAUUUGUGAAAAAAUACUCAUGAUACUAUACGACGGCGAUAGUUCUUUCAUCCUUAAAAAAGUAAUCAUCUUUUAGCUCUUGCGUUCGACUUUGAAAUACCCGGUUGUAUUAUUUUCCUUCGAUCCAAUUUAUCAAAUGUUUUAUUUAUUUAUUAUUAGAUGCGUGUAAAAUUUCAAUGUAUUUAUUUUACGUAUUUGGUUAUACUGUUUUAAAUUAAAAUAUCACAUACUAAAUAACAUACAUGUUUUUAUUUUUAUUUUUUUAUCGGAUGUCCCCGAAGGGACACAUACAUGUUUUUAUCUAAAUUAGAUCUUAUAAAAUAGACAAAGGGAAUAAAUUUACACAAAAAGAUAGAUACAAGAAUAAAUUUAUACGACAAAAAUUUCUAUGUUGGGAGUAUUUUUGUAUUAUUAUUAGUUUUUUUUGUCAAUUUAUUGUAGAACUAAAUAAAAAAAAAAAAAAUCAUUAUCUGCAACAUUUAUUUUGUCAACAUUUAUUUAACUUUUUUUUUUUUUAAUGUUGGUAUUGAAAGAACCCGGUUUAAAUUAAUUUCGGUCAGAUUCGUUAAACCCAAUGGGAAAUCCCGAAAACUCACAACAAUGGUGGCGAAGAAUCAAAUCGAUGACUGUGUUGUCAUGUUUGAUUAAUGGAAGCUAAACUUCUCCAUCGCCUCAUCAAUGAUCCUCCAAGUCUCUCCGUUGGCCUCAUCGAAACACAGUGUUAGAGGUUAAAUCUUGGUUAACUUUGGUUAAUAGAAAUUAGAAUUGAUUUCCGGUUUAAUGUCGUAACCAAGCUCAUAUAAAGCUUGAGUAUACGUUACUUUACUGUUUAAGCUUUGUAACAAACAUUUAUACGAUUGUUAAGCUGUUCUUCUCUCCUCCGUCGUUUUCUCUCUUUUCCGGUUAAUCAGUACAUUCAAUACACAGAAUCUUCCACCGUCUUCUUCUCCUUCGGUGGAUAGAGAAGCGACUGGAAUUAUAAGAAUCAGAAUCAGUAGGCUUGAGAGAGUGAGAGAGUGAGAGAGUGAAAAAAAACCCAUACUACCUCUAUGGAGAUUGUUUGCGCGUUCAAGACUGAUUGCUGCAUUUUGUAAGUUUUUGCCUUCUGAGUUCUGAGAUAUGCUUUUGGAGAAUUUGGUUACUGGCUUGAGCUUUUACUCUCAUGUAAAAGAAAAAUUGGUAACAUAAUGUUUCUUUCUCUCUUAGAGUCAGGGGAAGCAACUGAUCUUUUAAGUAAGGUUUAAUUACAUAGCUCAUUAUGUUGAUGGCUCAGAGAGGUUCUCAAUAAUAUUAGGGAAAAGAUUGUUUUUUUUUUUUAGUGGUGCCGAGCAUGGUCUUGUGUGUUUCUGUACUUUGAUUCUUCGUGGUGCCGAGUAUGGUUUUACUUUGUUGAUGCUUUUAUCAAUUAAAUCAGGAAGUCCUUGCUUUGUUGUUCAUAAUUCUAUUAAAACCUGAAGCACUUGAAGGAAGAAGCUUUACUGAUAUUCCAAAGCAGCUACUCCCACCAGAAUUUUGCUAUAAGUAGAUGAAAAGGUACUAAUUCAACUACUCUUAACAAUACUUUCUGUUUAUAUAAACUCACUUCUUAUGAGUGUUAGUGUCAUUUAUUCAUCACAUGUUCAUACCACAAGUCUUAUGAAAAAGCAUAUAUAUACUUAGGAUACUUCACAAAAAAACACAAAACAUAGGCCAAUAAUCACUUCAUGACAUCACAAUCUUUACAUAUACUCACAUACACGUCUUAGAAGCUUCUUUGCUGAUUCUAACCUGUUCCAUCGUCUCCACCACUGCCUCCCCCGUUGCCACCCCAAUUGUCAUAGUUUUGUCUUGGAAUGUUAUGAUGGUUGUCUACUCCUCUUGUUAAUGGAAUGACAGAUUUGUCCUUCUGGACAUGGUGAAGCCUCUGAUCUUUUGUGUUUAUCCCUCUCCCUCCACCCUCCACAAUGAAAGAGCUCAUAACCACCAUUAUUACCACCACCAUCACCAACACUUGCCUUCUCUGAAUUUUCAUUUCUGUUUUAGUUUUGGUUCUUCCAAUGCCUUGUCCUUUUUAUAGAAGAAGUUAGGUUUAGGUAUGCGAAUUCUUUCAACUGUUUUCUGUGUGUUCCACUAGGAAAAGACAAAAUAAAAGAUUGAAUUAUUAGCCUUUCAUUGAUGUGUUUGUUUGUUAUUGUUUUGUGACUUGUGACGAUUGAUACAAUAAUCAAAAGAAUUAUAAUCAUUCGUUCAAAUAGGAAAGUUCCACCGUUAAAGUGGUGAAGAAGACACAAGAAUCAAUGAGAAGAAUUGGUUAGUUGCCCGAAUAGGAAACUUCCACCAUUUUUUUAUAGUGGAUCACCUUCUAUUCAUACAUUCAUAUUUGUCUGUGUACUUAAAAGUCAAUGGGAUGGUAACAACUUACAAAAAGUAAAAUUUUCAAACAAUUUGCAUGAUGUUAAUUCCAUGAUUUCUUUGUUCUUUCUAAUAGCAUGCGAUGAUGGCCGAACAAGUUGAUGACAAGUGUCUCUCCCACAGAAUUAUCUACACCCACAAAACAACCAUCUGAAUCAUUGUCCUACUGAUAGGUUCAGGAUUUGCUAUGCUAAAUGAUCAUUUACAAAUAACUUACUCUGCUAUUAACAUCAAAAGAGCCAAAUCAUUUAGAGAAAGCAACCAUCAUGCAUUGAGUGUGUUUUGUGGGCUGCUAAUUGCUCACAGGGCUUGAAUAAUAUUUUUGAAACGGCUUAGUUAAGCCCCAUGAGGAAAUUUGAAAUGGAAUGAAAUGUAUAUCUCAACUCCUUAAUUUGAGGAUAACCCUGUUAGUUUCUUCGUCUAUCUCAAUACUUUGUAUGCAUAGUUUGCAGAGCUUUUUAUGGCUAUGUUGAUAUUUAAGUUGAUAAUAAUUCAUCAGUUACAAGUCAUCUAAUUCUACUGCUGUGACACUCUUUUGACUUCAUCUUCUUCUUAGCACAUUGCAUCACAUGCCUUGAGCUCAAGUUUCACAAUGUCUACACUAUAAGGACUUUGACUCAUCUUUAUGUGUUUCCUCCUUUGAUCUUUGCAUUCAGUGCCUUCCUCAAAGUCAAUGAUCUUUGGUCUGACAUGGUUAAUAACGAUGAUGUUGAUGAUGUUGCAGGGAUGUAGAAGCUGCGUUGAAAGUGAAAGGCGGGGUUUGUUAGAGCUGAAGGCCUAUAUGAUCUCGGUCAUUAUUGAUCCAUGUUUAGACAUUCAUCGAGGAUGGAUGAGUAGUGAUCGUUCUUGUUGCCCUUGGAGAACGUGUGAUUGGAAUCUCCCUAUCCUUAGAAUCCAUACAUUCCCAUGAUCCUCUUCCUCUACUGAAGAACCUAAAUGUUUUCCAUCCCUUUGAAGAGCUUCAGAGUCUCAACUUUUCGUCAGGAUACUGCAAAGGCUGGUUCGACGAAAGAAUAGGUCUGUUUACUCACGUUUUCAUUUUUGUUAGUAUUUCUAAGUCCUCUUACAAUGUAAAAUUCUUUUCUGCUUCUAGGUGGUGAGGGCCAGGGAAGUUUCAGGAAAUCUUGAGACUCUGGAUCUCGGUAACAACUCUUAUGGUAGCAGACUAGCAGUGUCUUGCCAUACUUGAAGGAGGCUGUGUCGCUCAAGACUUUGAUUCUCCAAACUCCAUGACAACUUAUUUGACGGUGGCUUUCCUGUUUAAAGUUGGUACUCCUGAAAUUAUUAAUACUCACAUAACAAAAGCUGUAGUCAAUACAAUUUUAUGUGUACUCUCUGCAAAAGUUUAAAUGAAUGUAGAAACAAUCAGAGACUGAAUUGGAGAAUGAAUUGGUGUAUGAUUGUUAAAUUAAAAUAACUAAUGAAAAUAAGAAUAAAAGAACAUUGAGAGAAGAAUAUAGCUACUGCCUCCCAAAAUGAAGCAUGGGGGAGACUUAAAGAGUUGGUUGGAAAAUGGAAUGUUGUAUGAUCAAAUUUAAAUUAAAAUACCAUUUACUUUAGACCCUUUAAAAUCACCGAACCUCUUUAUAGACCUUUCUUGAGUCCAGUGAUUAUCUAUUACAAGUUGUCCUGUUAUCCUUACCAAAAUCCAAACUAAAAUGUUUCACUAUUUCUAGUUCAAAUCUUAACUAUACAAUAAAAUUAGCUUAUGGUAUUCAUUAGUCAUGACUCAUGUUAUAUUGAUUUCUUAUACAAAAAAAUAGAGCUUCAAAUAUUUUGGCACUGAAUACUGAAAGAGUGAUAUAAAAAUGGAAAAAGAAUGACAGCUUGUAACUGUGGAAAGACACAUGGGAAAGUCAAAUCAAAUAAUAGUGGCAGUGGUUGUGUGAGAAGGUAUGGCUUCCUCCUCAAUCCUCAUCUGUAUGCCUCUCUAAUUUUAUUUUUCUUCCAAAAUAAUAAAAAGUCACAAUAGCAAGGUUUUAGAUUUUUUUUAGGAAAUUGAAUGAUCCGAGUAUGAUAAAGAAGAACAUUACACAUAUACUCCAACUUCAUCCUAUUCAAUGAUGAUGUAAGCAAUAUAUUCAUCACUACGACAUCAAUGCUAUGAUUUGUAUCUCAAAAUACAAUUUCAUGUUCGUAUGUAAUAUAGUGUUUCAUAUCUUUGUUAUGUUAAACGUUUAUCAAACUAAAGGUUAAACCGAAAGGGCAGAUAAAAUUCAUUUCUUUUAUCAAAAUCAUUCUAGUGUAUUCUUGAACCCAAAAUCAUUCAUCCUCAUUACUCGAAGGAGUUUAUUCGUAAGAAUUAUGAGUGAGACUCUAGAAAGACAAAACAUCAUAAUAGCCUCAAGCACGUUCCCACAAUAAAUUUCAUGCAGAAGGAGCCAGCCUAGUUUAUAGAAUGGCCCUCAUUCUUAUCUCGAACCAGCUCUUGAACCGUCCCGGGUCUAGUGAUACAUCAGUUCUGUCUGGUCCAAAGGCUUCUUUGCAAUAGAUUCUAAAUUUUAUAAUCAUCAAAAGUUAGGGAGGUAGAAAAUUAUAUUUAGUUUUAUAAAGAGUUUGAUGAUGAUAUGUGUAGUUUGUCUAGCUCAAAGAUUAAUUGAAUUUGUUCCAAAAUUAGAAUCAGACAUAAACCAAAAAAAACCUACUAUUGAUUUUUUGAGCUAAAACAUUAUUUUGUUCAACAUCAAACAAGCUUAAUUUUAGAUUUGGUCCUAGCUAGUUGACACCUAUUGGGGGAAAAAGAACAUACCAUAGGCUCAUCUGCAUAAGUGGAUGUGUAAGAAAGAAUGAUUGCUCUUCUCAUACUCAGCUAUAUUUGGGGGGAUGAAUCUGAAAUCGUAAUGAAUAUAGUUUCUCUCUGCUCUGUUCUGUUCUGCUUCCCAAUCAUAUUGGACCCUGCAAAAACUGACACUUCUUCUUUAUCAGACUCUACACUUGCAAUCCAUGCAUUAUAAACCCUUUUCACCCAACCCCUAGAGAUUACCAAAACCCAAAAACAAAAACAAAAAAACAGACCUAUGUAGAUAGAUUACUAUCACAUAUACAUUCACAUAACCAUUAAAUCAAUCUUCACAUGCAGAGAUCUCCCUAGGGAUUAUAUCUUAUCAAAUGAACUUUGGAUUUGUACAGAUAAUCUAAGGCUAAUUCAAGAAGUUCACUUCAACUAGAGACUUGAUCUUCAAGAACUCACCAAAAAGAUCGAGUAAAUUUUUCAAGCCAUGAAUCAUAAAAUCGAGAUCACACUUUAUCCAAGAAGAUUUAAAAACCCAUCACUCUUAUCUUUCUUAUGUGGUGGGGUCUUAUAAGCCUUAGUCCCCAUGAAAAUCAGUUACAAGUGAAGAAGAAGAAAAAAACAUUUCUUAAUAGCAAAUGUAAUAAUGCAAUGCAUGUUCGUACAAUUUCAGUUUUAUGAAGGAAAAUAACGGAACCGCACGAGUGAUGAAACCAAAUGGCCAAAACAAUUAUCAUGCAUGAUUUAAAAGCCCUCGUGAUGUAUCUUAUCAUAAUAUAUAUAAAAAAAUCUUGCCCAUAUCAUAUUCAGAAACACUACAUUUAAUAUCACCAUGGACCUAAGAUUCAUUUUUCUAUCUUAAGGGGAGAGCUAUGUGAAUCAUUCAUCUAUAUAUACACAUGUCCUUCACCGUCGUACUUCUCAUCACCAAAAAGCCAUCUCUAUCUCUCUUACUCGUCAUCUAUUUCUCCUUCUAUACUCAAAAUGAAGAACAAGUUCAUAAAGUCCUGCGAAAACAAACUCAAAACCAUGAAGAGUAAAUCCAUAGUCAUACCUUGUUGUACAUCUUCAUGUUCGAGUUGCUGCGAGAAGCUUUGUUGGGGAUUCAAGAAGGAAAAUGAAGUGAUACCAAAAGAUGUUCCGAGGGGGCAUUUGGUAGUGUAUGUUGGUGAUGAUUACAAGAGGUUUGUGAUAAAGAUGAGUUUGCUUACACAUCCCAUCUUUAAAGCAUUGCUUGAUCAAGCUCAAGAUGCUUAUGACUCAUCAAGACUAUGGAUCCCAUGUGAUGAGAACACUUUCCUAGACGUUGUUCGUUGCAGUGGCGCUCCUCAGCAUCAGAGAAACUGCAUUGGCAUGUAAUGUAAGAAGGGAGGAUUCAAAAGACCUAUUCAUUUGAUUUUGAUCCCAUCAUCAUCAUCAUCAUUCUCCUGAGAGAGUUAAUGUUGAUUAUUGAUUUAGAUAAUGUUGUACACUAAUUAAGUAAGAGUUUUCGUAAUAUAAGUAUCACCAUCGAUCGUAUUAUAAGCAAGUGUUCACUAAGCAUGUAGCAUUUUCGAAUGUUUCCAAUUAAACUGAAACAUUAAGACUCUGACAAAGAUCUGAAGAUAAAAAAUAGCAAAACUUCUAACAUAACCUGAUCAUGCCUGUCUCUAUUGUGUGUCAUAGAAAAAGACUUGAACUCUUGUCUGAUGCAGAUAUUGUCAGAGAAUAGAAACAAGGUUCAGUUUUCUAAGAGGAAAACUCACAUAAAAGGAUUCAUAAUGCUUAGACAGAAACGGCCAGGAACAAGUAGUACAGUACUACUACAGUUGAACUCAAAUGGCAACAUAAAACUAACAAAGUUCACAAACGAGUUUUUACACGUAAUUUUCAUAUCAUAUAUAUCUUACAAAGUGACACCAUUCACAUUACAAUCAAAAACUCAAUUCAAACAUAAGACAGUAAAGACCAACAAAAAUUUUAAAUCGAAACAGAAGAAAAGAAAACAGAACAGAACAGAGGAAUGCUCUCUUAGCAUAUCGGGAUCGGAGCUCCGUUCCAUUCCUUGAGACAAUCCAUCAACGGAUCAAUAAUUUUACCUUCACACAUUGCAGUGAAAACCUUAUCAAACUCCUCUCCCGGAGACACAACCUUUUCUCCGGUCAACAACUUCGUACCGAGCUCUUCCCUCACGAACUUAUACAAGGGAUACGACCUACACUCCUUGAUCCGGUUUGGAAUCGCUGCAUUUCCGCUACCGUAAGCCGCUCUGGUCGCUUCCACUUCCUUAGGAAGCACAGCCUUGAGUUCCUCCUCGAAAGCUCCAAUCUUUUGAAAGAUUGAAGUCCCUGCAUUCUUCUCUGUCUCACCGUUGGAAAGAGCGUGAUCAACAAUGACUUGUCUUAGCUUCUGCAUCAAAGGAUAAGUAGCGCUACAUGGAUCAUCGGCGUAUGUGAAGACCUGUUCACGAUCAACAACCUUAAGCAAGUCUUUCUCGCAGAACCGUGAUGGAUGAAGCUCACCAUUGACUCCAGUGGUCAACACUUUCUUAGCGACUUGAGAAACUGUGUUCUUCACAGUUUGUCUCAGAUUCUCCUCAAGAUGUCUCAAAUCCACAGCUUGACAUAUCCCCACAAGGAACGUUGUUGACAUAAGCUUGAGAAUGUCCACAGCUUCAGAGGUUUUACGAGACGAGAUCAAUCCAAGAGAGUUCACAUCUUGAUUAUGUUGUUCAGCUGAUUGAACAUGGCUUGUGACUGGAUUGGCCAAGUACUGAAGCUCAGAGCAGUAAGAAGCCAUAGCAAUCUCAGCUCCUUUGAAACCAUAAUCCAAACUCGGAUUACUCGAAGCUGUUAGAUUCGAAGGAAGUCCAUUGUUGUAGAAGUCGUUAACAAGCUCAGAGAAUUGAGCAAACAUAAGUUUCCCAAUCGCAGCAAUGGCCAAUCUCGUGUUAUCCAUAGAAACUCCGAUGGGCGUUCCCUGGAAGUUACCGCCGUGAAUGGCCUUGUUCCUCGAAACAUCGAUCAACGGAUUAUCGUUAACGGAGUUGAUUUCACGCUCAAUGGACUUGGUAGCUUGACGGAUUACUUCAAUCUGAGGUCCAAGCCAUUGAGGAGAUGUACGAAGAGCGUAACGAUCUUGUUUAGGCUUCUGCAAUGGAUCCAUCUCGUGAAGCUUUUGAGCUAAUUUCAUGUAUGAGCUCCCGUCGAGGAUGUGCUCCAUUAUCGCCGCCGCUUCGAUUUGGCCAGGGUGAUGCUUCAAUCGGUGAGUCAGAUGAUCGGUGAACUCAGGCUUCCCGCUCAUCACCUCCGCGAAGAUCGCCGAUAAAACCUCCGCUAACACCGCUUGAACAUUCGCUUCAAACAAAACCAUCGAGGCCAUGCCAGAUCCAACCGCCGUGCCAUUAACGAGAGCUAAACCUUCCUUAGGCUGCAGAUCGAAGAAUCCGGUACUGAUUCCGGCUUUCUCGAAAGCUUCUUUCGCGGUUAAGGACUCGCCGUCAGGACCGGUGGCUUUUGAGUUAGGACGUCCGGUGAGGAGUCCGGCGAUGUAGGAGAGAGGAACGAGAUCGCCGGAGGCGGUAAUGGUUCCACGGAGAGGAAGCGAAGGAGAGAUGUUGUGAUUGAGGAGACUCGUAAUCGCUUCGAGGAUCUCGAACCUGAUCCCUGAGUAUCCUUGGAGUAGAGUGUUGACUCGAACGAGCAUGGCGGCUCUCGUGGCGGAUUGCGGCAGCGUGUGACAUGCCUCCUUCGUGUUUCCGAAUAUUCCGGCGUUCAAAAAUCUGAAAAAAAAAAACAGAAAUCAACAAAAUUAAAAUUACAACCGACCCGAACCGAAUAAAACCCGACCCGAGUAACCGACCCGGCGUGUUUCCCAUGCAAUGUACUGAACUCGUGCGUAUAUUCAGUGACAAAUUAUACAAGAACAAAUUAAUCUCUGCCAAUUAUCCACUUAACCUACUAAUUUAAUAUUUCUCUCAUCACAAAUCCCAAAACAAUGUUUGAAAAAGAAUUAAUGUUUAAAUCACAUUCCUUAGUUACUUACUACUCAUAACGUAACGCUUAAUUAUGAAAUUAAUAAAAAUUUGUACCUAAUGAGUUCAGUUUGUAGUGCGGUGCCGUUUUUGGUUCUCCGGUGAGAAGUAGCACCAAAGCCAGUGGUGACACCGUAACUGUCAGUGCCUUUGUUCAUACUGUCCAUAACCCAAUCGCUGCUAGCUUUGACACCGGCUCUUGAAGACUCAGCUAGCUCAACCUUGACGUCCGCGCCUACGGUGGAGAUGGCAGCAACUUGUCCGAUCGUCAGUGUUUCACCUCCAAGAUUCACAACUGGUCUACGGUACUCAUCAACCAUCUUCUUGACUUCGUCUAGAUGGCUUCCUUUCAUUUGCUCCGCGGCUAAUCCCCAAUUCAACGGAUCCGAAACAGUCUUUGUCAUCACCGCCGCUUUGGCACUCUUCUGUCCUCCGUUGCAUAACAUAGCCUCAAUCUGAUCCAUUUGGUUUUUUCAAGAAGUUGAGUGUGUGUGAUCAGAUUAUAUCAGAUCUCUCUCGAUGAGUUUGUUUGGUGAAGGAGGAGAGCGAGAGAGGAUAUGAAUUGUUGGUGUGGGAGGUUUAGAGUUAAUCUGAGGAAGAAGAGAAGAGAGAAGAGUCGUUUAAAUAAGAAGGACAAUGUUAGUGUUGUUGUUAGGUAAGCAAAAGAGAAGAGAGUACACAAGAGUUGAUUUUCGUAAAUUAUAAUUAAAAGAAAAAAAGAAUGAAUUGAGGAGGGGUGGGUGAGAGAUUUAUGAUGACCGUUGGAUGAAGCUUAUAAAUCUAAUGGUGGAGAAUGGAGAACGUGAAUUUGGUUUGAGUCGCAAAAAGUGUUUUUCGUAUUCUUUUUUAUAAUACAAUUUAAAUUAAGAUAUUAACGCGUUUGGUAUGGUUAAAAAUUGUGCGUUCGUUCGAUCAACGUCAACCCUCAAAAGGGGUAGAAGAAAGGUAGUCGUGGCUGGUGGCUGAGGCAAAUAGCGUUUUGCGGUUGGUGAGACUUUUUACGAGUAAGUGUUGAGUGACUAUGGUCUAUGGUUUUGGGGAGUAGUUGUAUUAUCGUUGUGGAUUGUAAAAAAACACGUACACCUUGGGUCAAAUCCAAAAGUCGUCUCUACUUAUAUUUCAUUUCGUUCUAAAUAUAUACUAUAUAUAUUAUUUGAUAUACAAUAAAACAACGAACUACUUGAAGUCGAACCAAACCAGCAUGAACCUUUUUUUAAAAAAAAUAUAUCUUUCAUUAUGGGUUAGAGAACAGAGACUACACUUGGACAUUUGAUUUGGUAAGGAAGGUGCAUCCUUUUUAUUUUAUUUAAAAAUAUAUAUUUCUAAGUUUCAACACUAAACCAAACAUUUGACCUCAAAACAGAUAUAACUUAAUGAUAUUUACUAGAUUUGCACUAGGCGGAACGUUUGACUCCGGUUAAACAGAUGACUAUAUAUAUAUAUUAUACGUUUCCAAAUAUGAUUAUUUUUCAAGUGAUGAUGUGAGUUUUGUAAGUGUAAUUAAGUGAUAUUUCAUAAUACUUUUAGUACAUCAUAAUUAAUUUUAUAGAAGGAAUGAAAUAGGAAAAUAUAUAUACAUUUUUCUUAACCGAUACAUUUAAGGUUUAUAACCGAUACUAGCUUGGCUUUUCUAAUCUUGUAUUGAACAUACUACAUAUAGCUUGGUUUCGGAUAGCAUUUGGUUUAGUUUGUACUUAUUCGUAUAUUCCAUAACUCCUUUUUGAAACGAUUAUUCUUAGAUUUUAUUUUCUAACUUUUAACGGCUAAAUAUAUUGCAAAAGACAUUAUGACUUUUACAUAUAAAACUUUGACUUUGUGGUCAUUAGAGACACAAACUGUGAUGAAGAGUUAAUUAUAAUUCAUUAAUUGGAAUUGGUGGUAUCAAUUAUGUCGUCCUUAAUCACCAAUCAUGGAUACCCCAGUUUUUUCUAUGCUAGCUAUAGUACAGUAAGCUAGCAUAGAAAUCAAUGUACAAAUCAUGAUGAUGGUAUCAACUAUUCAAUGUGCUAACUUAAUAACCAUCUCAUUUACUCUUAUAUUUCAUCUCACUGUGAAAUAAACCAUUUCAAUCCAAAAGUAAAACCUUUUAAAAUCUCUUUGACAUUUUUGUGUUAGGUUUGGUAUGUAUAGUUUGCGAACGCCAGCGUCAUGCAACAUCAAAGAUAACAUGUUAUAUUAGCGUACGUGUCAAACAUCAUAGACUAGACAAGCUAAGCUGAUGCUAGUUUCAAAUUGCUUAGUUUUACCCCGGUUUGGUCAGAUCCUAACUUGUAAACUUUCUAUGGCCAUCUCACUAAGUGGCUCAGAGAAACACAUAGAGGUAUUGGAUUAGAGAUAUUUCUUUUUUGAAAAAAUGGAUUAGAGAUAUUUUGAAAAAAUGGAUUAGAGAUAUUCAAGUUUCUUUUAUAUAGUAAGCGUUAAUUUCCAAUAAUAAUGUGUCUUUUAAACUUUGAGCUACUUACAAGUACAACAUUAUACAGUAUAUUUUAAUGCUAUGUUUUAAAUUUAUGGGAAACACAAUAUAGACCCAUGAAUGUGGAGCUAAUUGAAGAAAACACACCGUUUGCAUGAGAUGGUAAAGACAUGACAUGUACGCAAUUACAUUCUUUUUGUUAUAAUGCUGUAUUUUAUUAAUUUUUAUAAAAAAUACUAAAACCAAAACAAUCAACUAACUAGCUGAGAACACAUUUAAAUGUUUUGUUGGUGAGAAACUUACGGUCUAAAUCGAAACACAUUAUAGAACUAUUACGUACAUAGAGCUAUCAACUAAUCGCAAGGAACAUGCAUGAGUAGUAUGAGUUGUUUCUAGUAAUUAUUUGAUUUUUGUAACUCUCAAAUGAAAAUGGUAGACGAGCAAACUGAUUAUAUAAUAUAUUAGGUCGAAUGAUUCCAUAUAUGUUUCAUAUAGUCGACAUAAUAUUAAUAACUUGAAAUCGUCCUCUUCCUAAAAAUAAUAAGAAAAAUCCUCUUCGAUCGUAAAAGUUUUAUUUUGCUAAUAUUUAAUCAUUAUAUAUAAGCAACCAAAAAAACACUUAUAAAAUGAAGAUCGGGCCACUUUGAUCAGAAAAAAUCGGUAUAUCUAAUUGUUGAGGGCUCGAUGGAUGGUGAUAUCGAACAACUCGUUAGUUAGCUUUGAUGAUAAUCUCUCUACAUAAAUAAUAAAAUAUAAAGCUAAUGUAAAUCAAAUGGACACGAUCGAAGAUAUAUAAUAAAGGGUCUACUAAUUAUGGCUGAAAGAGGUAGUGGGUUGGUAGAAUGGAUUGAUCCAAACACUUGCAUGUGUGCAUGCUCUUCACCACAUCUUUGUCUUCUUCACAUUUUUACUCUAUCUUUUUUAUGGGGUCCAAAGAGGCAAAUAUAUAUUGACAUGUUCGUAACUUUUUGUUUACCGGAGGAGGGCCUCAUUAUUUCAGUUGAAAUGUUUAUAUAAGAGUAUAGUUAUAAGCCAUAUGUAUCAGCAGACACAGUAUAAAGUAUAAAACCAAUCAACUACUAAUUUCCUAGAAUGGUCCGGUUGUAAGUUUUUUAUGUUCGGACAGUAGAGUUGGAGGAUGUUGUGGGUUGUACACGUACGUCCUAGAAUGGUCCGGUUGUAAGUUUUUUUUUUUUUUUUUUGAAUAAAGACGCUCUUCUACCAUAAAAAAUAAUAAAAAUCAACUACUAAUUUAAUUUCCUUUUGAAUAUCACCCAACCAUUUGAGUUUAAUAUAUAUUUUGACGAUUGUUUCUAAAAUUAGUUGAGUUUUUAACAUUGAUUAUAUAUUAUAAAAUUUAAUUAAAAAUGUAUAUUUGAAGAUAUAGUUUCAGUUAAUCCAUCUCUCCGCCAACUUCUUCGUAAUUAAGCGUCGUCGACCUAAAAUACAAAAAACAAAAUAUAAAUAUAUAUAAUGAAAACACAAAUUAAAAUAUAAAUGAUCUAAAAGAAAAUUACGUGAGGCUAUAUUUGCUUUCCUGUUUGCCCACUUUUAUGCCAGGAAACCAAACUGUUGGUUGUCUUUUGUAAACCAAACUCUUUCUAAGAUAUUUGCAUUUUAGCAAAAAAAAAGAAAAAAAAAAAAAAAAAAAAAAAAAAAAAAAAAAAAAGAGAGAAUUACGUGAGAUCCCCCCCUGUCCCUGUGUGUGUGGGUCACCAAAG